rnacentral:rRNA from 1 species
CAGCAGUAGCCGCGGGAAUACGGAGGGGGCUAGCGUUGUUCGGAAUUACUGGGCGUAAAGCGCACGUAGGCGGCUUGGUAAGUUAGAGGUGAAAGCCUGGAGCUCAACUCCAGAAUUGCCUUUAAGACUGCCGAGCUAGCAGGUGAGAGAGGUAAGUGGAAUUCCGAGUGUAGAGGUGAAAUUCGUAGAUAUGCGGAGGAACACCGAUGGCGAAGGCAGCCCCCUGGGCCAACACUGACGCUCAUGCACGAAAGCGUGGGGAGCAAACAGGAUUAGAUACCCGAGUAGUCCCUGUCUCUUAUAA